UUGAAAACUCCUUUCAAUGGGUUGAAACAAUUUCAACUCAACUCACCAGGGAUUAUCGACCAUCGAGAUGAUCCCUGUGAGUCUCACCAUCCACCAGUGACACCUAGCAGUAUUGUUGCCCUAGGUGACAACCCAAGAGGGGGGGUGAAUUGGGUUUUCUAAAAAUUAUGUUCCCUAAUUUUUACUUUGAAUAGAAUGCAGCGGAAUAAUAAGAUGUUAUUUACUUAAGCUCUAGGCAAUUACAAGUAAAGCAGUGGAAGAUUAAGCUAGAGCAAUUAUACUAUGGCUUUAGGGUGCAAUUGAUCUAAAAUUAACUUAUAGUUGUAUGAUCAAUUUUAAUCUAUGUGUAUGGUAAGAAUGGAGUGGAAGCUAAGCAAAUC
rnacentral:lncRNA from 1 species